AAAUCAAAAACUGCCUUCUCUGCUGACAGCCUCUACAUUGAAAGCUUUCGUUCCUAUCACUUCUUUUACAGUGCAAAUCUCAGUUAAUUUCUAUUCUCAUUCUCCUUUGUCUUCUCUUUCAAUCUCACUCCACUCUUUUCCUUGGGUUACUAAGGACAAACAUAUCCCUUUAUUUUUGUACUUGUAGCAGUUUUUGUACUGCUCUUAAUAACCCUUAGUAUAGGCUAAGUUCUCACUUUACCUGUACACAUGAUUGCUGCUGUGAUUUGUUUGUAUGUAUUGCUCCAAAAUUCAUAUGAUGGAACCUAACCCCCUAGGAGGUGGUAUUAGGAGGUGGGGUGCUUCGCAGGUCAUUAGGCUAUGAGAAUUCUGCCUUCAUGGAUAAGAUAAAUGCCCUUUUAAAAAAUGCAUCAUAGAGCUGCCUCCCUGCUCCCAUGCCUUUUGCCAUAUGAGGACACCUAGACUGCAUUAUCUCUGAAAAAUGAGCCUUUUUCUUUUCUAUUCUCCUUCUACCAUGUGAGGACACGGCUUUACCUCCUUCUCCAGAGGAUGCAACAAUAAGGCACCAUCUUGGAAGCAGAAAGCAGCCCUCACCAGACACCAAAUCUGCCAGCACCUUGAUCUUGGAUUUCCCAGACUCCAGAACUCAGACAUACUUCAAGUACUGCAAAAGCAAAGACAGCAGGGUGUCCAGGCAUUCAGCUACAGGGUGCACCAUCUGACCGAGCCAUUUGGAGUCAGCCUUAGAAACAGUCUCUUCAUCUUCGUUCAUAUUGAACAAUCAUUCCAUGGAAUCUGUCCCACCACAAGUUUGAGCUGCUGUUUCCUCAGCAUCUUCAAUAUCAUGCCAGAAUGUAUUCACAUCCAAUUUGAAUAGAUUUUUAAUAAUAAGCUUCAGAAUUUCAUUCCUCAAGGUUGGAAAGUAUAUACUAAUCUUUAGUAAGUUAUGAAUGUAACAUUCCAGUGUUCUCUCUGAUUGAACAAAUGGAAAUGUUUCCACCAGUAUGGGCAAAAGAAACCACAGUGCCAGUGGGACAUAUCUUGCUGUUAUUUGUAAGGUUGUAUGACGUGUGUCAAAAUCUGCAGGAAGAUAAUCAUCUCCAUCAUCAGAAUCUGAAACAUUUACAUGGCUCUUCUUAAUGAUCAUUCAAGGAGGGUACGCCAAAUGGGAAGCAAUUAUGCUGAGACUUGGGCUAAGGAAGAGUCUGUUGUUACAAGACUACCCAGAGAAGCCAAAUACUCUUCCACCACUGUUUGAAUUCUAUUCAACCAAGGCAAUCUCAAUGUAAUACUGAGGAGCUGCUCAAAGUCUUUUGCCAAGUACAUGAUAGAAGAGCAAAAUUUUCACAGCCAGUUCAAGAUCUGGUCAUCCUUUAUGUUUGAAUCUCACAACUGGCUCUUCAACAGCUCAAAGUUAAAUUUGUU
rnacentral:lncRNA from 10 species